UACGAAGGGGGGCGAGCGUUGUUCGGAUUUACUGGGCGUAAAGGGCGCGCAGGCGGCUAUCCAAGUCAGGCGUGAAAGCCCCGGGGCUUAACCCUGGGAGGUGCGUCUGGGACUGGGUGGCUAGAGUUCGGGAGAGGAGAGUGGAAUUCCCGAGUGUAGAGGUGAAAUUCGUAGAUAUUGGGAAGAAACACCAGUGGCGAAGGCGGGUUACCUGGGAGCUUUGCUGACGCUGAUGGCGCGAAAAGCGUGGGGAGCGAUCCGG
rnacentral:rRNA from 1 species